rnacentral:rRNA from 1 species
UACGGAGGGAGCUAGCGUUAUUCGGAAUUACUGGGCGUAAAGCGCACGUAGGCGGCUUUGUAAGUUAGAGGUGAAAGCCUGGAGCUCAACUCCAGAACUGCCUUUAAGACUGCAUCGCUUGAAUCCAGGAGAGGUGAGUGGAAUUCCGAGUGUAGAGGUGAAAUUCGUAGAUAUUCGGAAGAACACCAGUGGCGAAGGCGGCUCACUGGACUGGUAUUGACGCUGAGGUGGCGAAAGCGUGGGGAGCAAACAGG